rnacentral:rRNA from 1 species
UACGGAGGGUGCAAGCGUUGCUCGGAAUUAUUGGGCGUAAAGGGUAUGUAGGUGGUCUCAUUUGUCUGGGGUGAAAUCCUUGAGCUUAACUCAAGAAGUGCCCCAGAAACGGUGAGACUAGAGUCCUGGAGAGGGUCGUGGAAUUCCCGGUGUAGCGGUGAAAUGCGUAGAGAUCGGGAGGAACACCAGAGGCGAAAGCGGCGACCUGGACAGGCACUGACACUCAACUACGAAAGCGUGGGGAGCAAACAGG